rnacentral:misc_RNA from 1 species
UAAGGAUGGAAGUAUAAUCAUCAGAAUGAAGAUUUCUCAUAUGAAUGAGAUUAAUUUGAUUGCAGUGAAAAUUAAUAGCAUAACUUGGGAAAUUCCACUGAACUGAAUUUUCACAUAGAAAUAUGCUGAAGGAUAGACAAAUUUACAUACAGACACAGUUGUCAUCUUUAUCAUAAAAUUUUCAUAUCCUACCAAUGAAGAUGGCUUAAAAAAGAUGAAGCGCCGCAUCUUUCCCGGUGUAGGCGGCAGACGCUGGACGUUCACUUUUUAAGCAAGGAGUUCUGUAGAAUUUCUUCUCAUUAUUAUGGGCAAGGUGUAGAACUUGAAUUCUCAGCAAGAAGAGCUUGUUUUGAAUCUGAUACAACUAUACUGUCACUCAACUCGCGUCCGCUGGUUUCAAAUGGGAAAAGCAGAAUGCAGGUUACUGUAACAGCAAUUACAACCUCAAAUAGAAUAAUAGCUUCCUUGAGAUGGCAACUGCUUGUCAAAGCAACUGCUACAAGAGGACACACUAUCCCACCAAUUCUUCCCAUAGCACUUGCAACUCCAGCACCAGUUGACCUCACAGAGGUUGGAUAUAACUAGAAUGAGGAAAUUAGAAAACCAGGACAAACAUGUUACUUUCAAUGAUAAACAAAUACAAUUCCCUUCCUGGAGUCAUUAUAAACAAUUGGAUCAGCAUCCAAAAUUAAUGUCAUUAAUUCAGAGAAUCCACAAGCAGAUUUUCAGAUAGUAAAAUUACUUGGAAACUUGAAGUUGACUUGUUCUAAAUGUCAACUUAACCCUAAUGGAUUAACUGUAAAACAUACUUUCUUUGCAUGCUUGUUAGGAGUUCAUUAUCCAAACAAAGAUAUGCUCUUGAAUUUAAACAAAUUAUAAAAUAAAGAAAAGAGCGGAUAAUAUUGUUGGGGAAUUCUAAAUACUCAUGGUUUCUUACAUUCAUAAGUUGCAGAUAAAGUGAAAGAGAGAUCUUUCAACAGCCAGAUUAAAAGCACAACAAAGUUAAAACAAAAGGGUUUGCAACACUACAAAACUUCUUUUAUUUCUUAAUAUUGUAUUAUUUCAUUUUCACGUCAUGAAGAUUCCUUUUCAUGCCAAUUUCAAUAAACUUAAUGAUCCCUUUAAGAGUUAAAAAUAAAAUGAAAAGUUAUUAAUUAAAAAAUGCACAUCUAUAUUAGAUUAAAUGCCUUCAAAGAAAGAAAAGAAUUAUUUCAGGGGCUUACUUCUGGGGCAUAUAUGCAGGCAACAGUGAAGGUUCCCAUGGAGAACAUGCGAGCUCCAAAUAACAACCCUGUUGUUAAAAUUGCUGACUGAGAAAAGACAAGUGGUAAAAGGAACACCCAUGCUAAGAUGAACAUAAUUGUCAUUGCAGGUUUGCGGCCAAAUCUAUCCACAAUAACAACUGAUAAAAGAAGACCAGGAAGCUCUGCAAAACUAGUGAUGAGCACAUCUGUAUAGAGACUAUCUGCCUGCAGAUUUUCUGUAAGCAAGACAGUCGAGCUACAUUUGUCUUGCACAGUACUUAUCUCAGAGGUCAGCAAUACUAUGCCAUAAUAUACAAAUGUAUUUCCAAAGAAUAAAACCCAAAGAAGCAAUGUUAUUCGAAUUAAGUUUGACGAGAAAAGCAUAAAAAACAAUGAGAAACCUGAUCUGAAUAUUGAGAUCUUUUCUCUAGCUACAGAUAGGAAACUUGUAUAUUCUGAAGGAUAUUCUUCAUCCACGUCUAUUAUCUCAUAUGAAAUGAGCAUUCCAGGAGGCAAAUCUUUUUGGUUAACUAAAGCCAUUUUCUCCAGAAUUUGGUGUGCGUGAACUGUUCUGCCUUUCAGGCAUAGAUAUCUUGGAGACUCUGGAACAAGACGAUAAAAGAGCAGUAAAGAAAAUGAUGGUACAGCAGACAGAGCAAGUAACCACCUCCAAUUCAGUAUUGGCAUCACAAUCUGCAAAGUUAUGAUAGAAUAUUGAAAGUUAAUCUAGUUCCAAAAUCCUCAAUCAGUUGCUUAUCAAUCCUAGCUGUCUAUUUUACCUGAAAAAUAAACUUUUACACACACAUAUACCACAGGAAAAAAUAAAAAGAUACACAAAAAAAAAAAGCACACACAUGCACGCAUACACACACACCCCAAAGGGAAAAAAAAUACCUAAAUAGAUAAGAUUAAAUUCUGAAACUCAACAUUUCUGCUAAAAAAUAUGUUCAUUUUGGUUUUUUUUUUCCCCCUAAGAGAGAAAGCAUAAAUGAAACUUCCAACAGUCAAUCUAGAUCUCCUUGAUCUUGCAAGAUUUGCUAUAAAACUCAAACUGAGCUAAUACGCACUAUCAGUAUCUGUGGCUUCUUAUCAUGACAGGAAAAUAAGUUUGCCACCCCCACCCUCCUCCUUCCCCAAUUUUUACCAAAUUUUCCUUGGCAUUUUACAUGCACAAUACUGAUACUGUUGAACAGUAUAAGAAAUUUUGAAAAUAUUGACUAGAAAAAGUGCAACUGUUGUCUGAGAAUGACGUCAGAUAAAAGACUUUCAUUGUUAUGAUUUGCCUUGGUAGCAUAAAAAUGUAUUAACAUGUAAAUCUUAAGAAUAAGAAUAAAAAUGAGCAAAAAUAGAAGGUUCCAAUAUCUUAAUUAAGGUUUGAAAGAAUUAUUUCUUCAAAAUGUAAAAAGAUGAACUUAAUAUGGCCAAUGAAGGUCAUUGGGUGUUUUGCUUGAAUCAUCAAGAAAAAAAAAAUGAUGAUCCUUAAUUCAUGGUUUCUGCAUUUUGGUUCCAGCAUUUCUUCUUUGCUAUCUCAGUUAUGAAUCCUUCUUUGUUUGCCAUAAUACUUUUAUGAAAUGGUUGGACACUUCAACUUGGAAGGCAAGGAAUGUUGUUAGAAAGCUAUUUUCCAAUGAAACUUCUCUAUUUUUCUUCUUCCCUUUAUACCAUAGGAGGAUGUCAACAUCUAUAUGGCUGAGUGAAGUAGUGACUUUUAUUCUGUGUAUCAUUCAGGUUCAUGGCCUCCACAAUACGUUGUCAUGCCACAGUAGAUAUUCUAUGAUGGGAUGUCAGAUGUGCCCAGAAAUUUCUUAGCCAUUUCAUAAAUUAGUGAUGAAGCCACACAUCCAUACACAAUUUUCAUUCUAGGAUGCGUCCUGGCACCAGAAUAUCCUCAAUGAAACUAACUCGUAUCUAACAAGAUUUUAACUAAAUGAUAGUGAAAGGAUGGCACAUGAAAAUCUAACAGACCAUCAAACUUAGUAGGACACAUAUGGAAUAAAAUAGUGAACAAGCAUGGAAUGAAGCAUGUGAAAUAUACAGCAAUAAUAGUUGCCAGAAAGCAACACGAAAGAAAAUGCAAAGGUCAAAGUAAGUAUCAUAGGUAGGUAUUCUGUUGAUUCCCUUUCUAAUUUGAGGAGACAGGGAGGGAUGCAGCUUCAAUGAAGGAAUUCUUUUUAUGCACAAUGGACUAAUAGCAGGUUACAAAUAGUUUACCAAUAAGAACAAAGUGCAUACAUACAGAAAAACACACAUAGAGGACUGAAUGAAUAGCUAUGUGUGUUGAAAAAUAACAGAAGACGUACCUGAAUCAUGAAGUCAUUCCUUUAACUAGUAAACCAAAGUCCUAAUGGUCUAAAUGACUAUCUCUUGUUUCUCAAUAGGAGUGAAACCGCUCUUUCAAGACAAGAAUAAGGAAAAAAAAAUACAACCUUUUACUUUCCCUUUUAAAAUGAAACAACCGUAGCCAACAAGGUAUCCGCAUAAUUAUUGAAGUUAGGAAAUAAGACAUACCCAUGCUAGUGAAGCCUCAAAUAUAGUUCCAAUUGUCCAGAAAAUUGUAAGGAUAACCAUCCACUUGCCUCUAUGCGAAGUGGGAAUAAACUCAAGAAACCAUGACAAGAAUACAUGUCCACCACCCAGGCCAAAACCAACCAAACAACGGAGAAACACUAAUGAUAUAUAAUUUGGGGAGAAAGCACUCAGGAAUCCAGCUCCACUAGUAAUCACUGUCAUGCUUAAAAAAGCUUUCCUUCUUCCAUAAUUAUCUGAUGUGAGGCCCCAUGAAUAGGCUCCAAUCAACAUACCAGCAAAAACAACAGAACUUAACAAGCUCUCUUCACUCGAGGAAAGUGCCCACUUCAACUUAACAGCAGGCCCCACAAAAGAUAGAAUCAUAAUUUCAAUUGCUUCCGAAAACCACCCAAAUCCGGCAUAAACCAGCACAAGACCUUGGAAUUUCCCAAACCCCACAGCAGCAAGCGCUUCAUCCAGCGUAUAUACAAGCCUUUCGGAUUCCAUCUUGGUUAAUGGUUGGUUUUAUUCUCCUUCUGGCUGUUAUGUAUGGUCGAAAAUGGAUAUACAAGUUGCAGAAAUCGAGGAAAUUCACUGAAUAUUCGAAAUGGCUAUGAAUAAAAUAUACCAAGAAGAGGUAAAAUUAGGUAGUUGACGCAAUUUUGUUCAUUUGAAGAAACAGAUGAGAAAGGUCAAGUCAAGCAAUUGCCAUUCCUUUCAAUUAGGCGCCAUUUGCUCAUACUUUUCGGCGAAUUCAGUUAGAGAGUCAUCUGUUA